rnacentral:rRNA from 1 species
UGGCUGUUCUCAGCUCGUGUCGUGAGAUGUUGGGUUAAGUCCCGCAACGAGCGCAACCCUUGCCUUUAGUUGCCAGCAUUGAGUUGGGCACUCUAAGGUGACUGCCGAUGACAAAUCGGAGGAAGGUGGGGAUGACGUCAAAUCAUCAUGCCCCUUAUGACCUGGGCUACACACGUGCUACAAUGGGCGGUACAAAGGGUUGCAAACCCGCGAGGGGGAGCCAAUCCCAAAAAGCCGCUCUCAGUUCGGAUUGCAGGCUGCAACUCGCCUGCAUGAAGCCGGAAUCGCUAGUAAUCGCGA